rnacentral:rRNA from 1 species
CGGCGGACGGGUGAGUAACACGUGGACAAUCUGCCCCCGGCCGGGAUAGCCCAGGGAAACCUGGAUUAAUACCGGAUGAGACGGGACCUGCGAUGGCGGGAUCCGGGAAAGGCGCUACGGCGCCGCCGGGGGGAUGAGUCUGCGUCCCAUUAGCUAGACGGCGGGGUAACGGCCCACCGUGGCGACGAUGGGUAGCCGGCCUGAGAGGGUGGACGGCCACAUUGGAACUGAGACACGGUCCAGACUCCUACGGGAGGCAGCAGCUAAGAAUCUUCCGCAAUGGGCGAAAGCCUGACGGAGCGAACCGCCGCGUGAACGAAGAAGGCCGUGAGGUUGUAAAGUUCUUUUCGGGAGGGGGAACAACCGUGGCAGGGAAUGGCCGCGGGAUGACGUGAAUCCCGGAAUAAGCCCCGGCUAACUACGUGCCAGCCGCCGC